rnacentral:lncRNA from 1 species
CUGAAGCAUAUGAAACUGCCCGGUUUAAAACAUCAUCAUAACUUGAAGGAACUUUGUUAUGUUUAAAAGCCAUCCACCUCAACAAUUCAAGUGCUUUUGUUACAUACAACCCUUUUACCGCAUGCGUACUUUCUAUCCCAUGACAGGUUAGUAAGUGUUUCUCUCGAGUGGUAAUGAUGACUUUGCUUCCACGACCGAACCAAUCAAGUCCUCCAGCCAAAGCCUCUAGCUGCUCCAGUUUGUCGACAUCAUCAAGAAUCAAAAGAAUCUUCUUUCUGCAUAGCCUUUGUUUUAUGAUUGCAAUUCCCUCACUAACACCUCCUAACUUAAUGUCCAAUCCAACUGUUUUCAAAAGGAGCUUUUCUUGGAGAUGUUUCAAAUUAUAUGGAGUUGAAAUCUCUCUCACAUCUUCUAGAAAACAUAAACCUUCAAAUUGAUCAGCAAUGAAAUUAUAAAUUGCUUUUGCAAGUGUUGAUUUACCCAAGCCUCCAAUACCAUAAAGUCCUACCAUGUGGACCUCAUCAUCAUAUCCCUUAUCGAGAAGCAAAUUCACUUGUUGUACUUGGUCCUGUAAUCCAACAGGAUAUUUGGCAACAUGUAAGAAAACACGAUUGAUCCUGUCGGAUAUGUCUUUGAUUAUCUUCUGAAUAAACUUGUAUUCAUAUCUAUUAAUCUCCAAUAAGAUAAGUUAGUGCACACACCAAUAUCAGAAUCAUAAAUACAUUAUACAACUCUGACUAUUUUGACAUAUAAAUACCUUAUACUUGUUUAAAAACAUAAAUAAAUAAAAAAUGUUUUCUAUUUAAGCUUUAAGAUGAGGUUAUUGGUUAAUAGAAAUUAAAGAAAGAAAAUAUAAAGAGGCAAGAGGCAAAACAAGAUUUAAGUAUAGUAGGGUACCCUGGACUAUAAUGGUAGCCGGACAAGUUAGCAGCUUGGGUUAGAGCUAUCUUCCAUUGGUGCAAUCGCUCCAUGUUUUUCUUGUUAUUUUGGAACCUCUCUCCAUGCUUAGCAAGCUCUUCACCAUAACUCCCUGUAUGAUAUCGCACAUCAGUAGGAUCCACGCCAAAGAAAACAGGCAAAACUAGGCGACCCUUUGUCUUGUAGCAGUGAAUGAUGUGCACAAGUUCGUCCAAACAAAAUGAAGAAGAGGCAUAGUUGGUAGAAAAUACAGGAAUAAAAAUUCUAGAUUCUUCAAUGGCCUUUAAAAGUGACGGUGUGAUUUUUUUCUCCUCUCUCAAGAUUACAAUCAUCAAUGAAUGUGUGGAUUCCCUUGUCAUAAAGGGCCUUGUAGAGAUGGCCAGUGAAACCGUCACGAGUGUCACUGCCCCUGAAGCUGAGGAACACUUGGUAUGUGAAUCCAUAGGAAAUUGAAGAGGAAUGUGAUUGCAUAGCCAUGAGAAUUGACAAAAAUUGGAUGAGAAAAGAGUGAGUAUGAAUAAGUUAUUGUGAUCUGUGGAGUCUUUAAUAUGUACCUUAAAACAAGGAGAAAACUUAUGACAAAAAUGGUCCAUGAAACUACCUUGGCACUUCCUAUAGCCGUGCGGACCAAUCACAUCUUGCUAAUUUCUUUAAUUUGAUUGCUGUUCAACUUUUGGACAAAACUUACAUAAAUAAAAAAACAAGUAAAAAACUAGUUGAGUUGGCAGGGACAUUGCAAUAUGUAAGGGUUCAAACCCAGGAUUCCCCACUAUUUUCACGUUAAGAGGUAAAUUUCUAGCCACUAGGUUACUUGACAAAAAAAAAAGCGAAAAACCAAAGAAUAGUGUAAUAAGCACCGGAACUACUAUUCUUUUUGUUUAUAACACAUUUAUUUAUAAUACUAGUUUUGGUUAAUGUUACGGUAUAAGACUUCUAGUUGUAUUAUUUGAACACACGAUUUUCGAUACCAUAUUUUGACACUGUAUGCCAUUGACAUUGAGUGUGGAUGUUGGUCCUGAGCAGAGAGCACAUGAGUGUGGAUGUUGGUCCUGAGGAGAGAGCACAAGCACCCGAGAAGAGUGAAAUACUCCUUAAAACUCAGAUACCGUUUAAAUAUGCAGUGUGUGUCUAGAAACAAUAAAACACUCUCCAAGACUUUUUACAAAUUUUAUUUUACAACUGCUUUUAUUCUUCUGCUGCAUGUAAUUUUUCAUCUGUUACUUAAUCAGUGUUAAAUAACAUGAACUGAAAAUAAAAAUAAAUGCAAGCUAUGCUAUUAAAACAUCUAAUUAAAGACAGUAUGCAUAUAUCAACAAGUUCUGAUAUUUCCAUUUUAAACUAGUUAGUUAGUUAGUUAACAUGAGUAGGCUAGCAUGGAUAUGCAAUAUUCUCUCUUCCAUUUAUUUUCUGAAGUUUUGGCUACCAAGUCUACACUUUUACUACCAAGACUGAAACUUCCUUCUCAUCUUCCGUGUGGACCAAUAUGGAAACUUCCUUCUCAUCUUCCGUGUGGUCCAAUAUGGAAACUUCCUUCUCAUCUUCCGUGUGGUCCAAUAUGGGAAACUUUCUUAUUCAUCUAUCUUCCGUGUGGUCCAAUAUGAAAAACAAAAUAGAAAACAAGCAAACAAAGAAAGAAAUACAAUGGAACAAUAGAAGCCAUUUGUGCAUGGUGUUGCUGCUCAUGCACAAGUUCUGUCUCAGAAACUUCCAAGUCCAUUGUUCUUUGCUUUUUCAACAGAGUGUGGAAUUGUGAUAGAUAUUCAUCUAAUUUUCUCUUUCUAUAAGGAUUGGUGAAUCUGACAUUCUCCGAUCAGAACUUCUUUUCUUCUUCAACACGCCGGUUCCAGUUUGUGUAUGUUCCUCACAAAAAUGGAAAUUCGGAUCAUUCUCGAGCAACUGAAGCUCUACUUGAAUCCAUUCAUUUUUUAAAAGUGCUUCAUCCAGUUCACACCCGAGAUUUUCAUAAUGCUGGUUAUAGAAUUGAAUCAUUUUUUCCAGUUUCAGAUCAAAGAGAUGUAUGAUCCAAUUGCAGCCCACAAAAGUGAGAACUCAUCCACCAAUUGCAUGAAAGAGUAUAUUCAUAGCCAUUGCGCACAACUUGACUCUUAGUUCAGUAUCACCAUCAUCAUCCCCAAAUACAAAAGGUACUUUAGGAUCAGAGAAGAGAAUAACAGAACUUAUAGAAGGGAUUUCUUUACGAAACCAGAAAGAAACAGUAUGUCCCCAGCUUUGGUGUUCGAAACAAUCAGGAAUCCCCUCAGUUCCGGUUGGCAAACAAAUCUCAAUGCAUCCAGCCUCAAGUAGUUUCUGUUAGUUUGGCAUAAAAUAUAAUAUUACGCGAUGGAUUACAUACGAAACCUAUAUAUCAAAUAUUAGUGCAAGAAAAAACAACAAACCUGACUCAAUAGCAUUCUUCUACAUGAGGAAGUUAAUGAUUCACAUCGCAUUGCAGAAAACCGUUUUAGGUUUGGUGGAAACCCUCUAAUUUCCUCAAGAGACUUGCAAUCCUCCAAUCUAAGGCAACUAAGAUGGUGACAUUCAUUAAGACACUCCGGAAUAACUUUUAUAUUGUUAUCUGAUAAGUAUAGAUAUUUCACAUUAGCGCACAAUGUGAGAACUGCUCGGACACAUUCAUCUGAGAGGUUGUUAUUUGAAAGAAUAAGAUCUUCCACAUUUGAAGCCACUGUGGAACUCAAUAUAUCCUUAUGUUUUGGCAAUAACAGACGACAAUCUGUAGCAUAAAUCUUUGACAAGUUAGGCAUCAUUAAAAUGUUACUCGAAAAUCUGAGUAUUCCACCCUCGUAUAAUGUUAAGUUACGAAGUUCACUUAGAUUUUGAAAUGAAAAUGGUAAUUCUCUUAUGGAAGUUUCACUCAACCUAAUCUCUUGUAUAUUUGUCAACUUGCCUAAUAAUUCUGGAAAUUUUUUGAGACUCUCACAUUCCCUGAGUUCCAAUUCCUUAAGAGAAGUCAACCGUAAGGGGGGAAAAUUCUUGAGCUUCCUGCAACCCUUUGCAUUUAAGACUUCAAGUUUAUUUAGGUACCCAAUAGAAUUGUGAAUUGUGAAUUGUAAUUAAAUUAUCACAAUUUUCAAAUGAGAACUUUUCUAAAUUUGGAAGAUGUGAGACAUUGGGUAUAUUGGUUAAAUAUUUACAGAAGUUCAAUGUCAAGACUUUCGUAUUCUCGAACUUCUGCAUAAACACAAAGAAGAAACAAAAAAAUAAAAAUAGAACACUAUAAUCUAAUGGUGAAUUCAAAAAUAUACACAAUUGGAAAAUGAACUUAUUUCACUUGCCUUGUUCAAAAAACUAGAUGAUAGAGGCUUCGAAAGAUGUCUUCCCCAUAUCAAUACUCUCAAAGUACUUGGAAGAUACUUGGGACUUUUGUAGAAUUGACCACUUUUUAUAAUAAGGAGGCGUUUGUUUCAUGGUAUCAAAAUUUAAUCCUAGGAAUGACUUUUCCGGGCAUAACUUUCGAAGGAAUAUUUUUAAACAAAAAGUGUUUGGAUAGUAUUUUUAGUUCCCAGGAAUCUUUUAUUUUAAAAAUUUACAAUUCCCAAAAUACCCAUAUGAUGUAACUUGAUUUUGUUUCAUUCGGUCCAGUAAGAUAAUCCAUGAGUAUAUCAUUAUCAUUAUUAUUUGUGAUUUUAUGAAUCGUGAAAUAGGCUAAAGAUUGGAAUAAUGCAGAAAUAGAGCUUUUGUUAUACUGCAUGUGUGAAAUUAUUAUACAAUAUAUAAUCUAUGAAAUCCAAUCAUUAUUUUAUUAUAAGAAACAAUGACAAUAAGUUGUAGCAAUCUAGAAUGCAGGUAUUGCCAAUAUUGUAAGAAAAAAAAUUAUAUGAUAGAUUUUAGAGGAAAAAACAACAUGAUAGAGAAGGGGACAACAAUUAUAUUUACUGGAAAUAUUACUUGGGAAAAAACAAGACGAUAGGGAAAUAAUUAAUUGUAAUCGUGUGUAAGUAGUGGGGCAAGCCAGUACUUUUACACAUAAUUGCUUAUAUUACCUGGGAAUAUAAGUUUCCCAUCUCUAUUUGCUGGGAAUAGAAAGCCAGACAAUGUGGGGAAAAAUCUUUCCCGGGCAUAAUUAUUUCCUGGGAAUAAUUGUUCGUUCCACCGUAACAAACACUGGAAUCUUAAUUCCCAUCCAAGAAUUCCUGGGAAUAUGUUUUGUAUCCAUGAAACAAACACCCCAAGUGUUUUAAGAUUUGACAUCUUCUUGAAGGCCAUUCGAUUCCAGUCUAUUACGGGUUCCAUUGAGUGACAAUUAAGACAUAUCAUUUCAAUUUUUCCAGUUCCCUUUUAACAAAAAAGGAAAAAGAAUAAACCACAAUACAAAUGAUAUACAGAGAAAUAUACAUCUAAUUAAGUGGAAAAAAACUAGAACGAGAUGGUCAUAUAUAAGUCCAAAAAGAGCCAAGUCAUUGUUAAAGCAAAAAUAACAAAUUGUUCAUAGAUAUCAAUCUUACCGUGUUUUUCUGUAGACAUGAACUAUAUCAUUGUGACACCAUAACCUACUGCGUUCUCCAGGUUCCUUACACGAUUCUUUAUGGACGAUUUCUUUACCUGUGUCUUCUAUCAAGUCAUGUAAUGUCACAUCAACGACAUGAAAGUAUCGAGUCUUAAUCUCUAUGAGAGAUUUUUCGACCAACACUCCAACAUGAUGUUUUAUGCAAUGGCCAUUAUGAGCAUGAAGUAUCUCUUCGACCAUUGUCAAUCUAUACCCCUUGAAGCAACAAGCUAUAUCCAGAAAGACACUUUGCUCCUCUUCCUCCAAAGCAUCGUAACUUACUUUAAAUAUCUCAUGGAUCUUUUUAUUAGGAAUCUUUUCAUAUCCAUCUAAUGUACACUUCCAUUCUUCUAUGCUCUUUCCAAAUAAGUUUGAACCCACUAUUUCUAUUGUCAAUGGAAUUAAUGGCAAAUCAAAUUCUAUAAGAUUGCACAUUUAUUUGUAAUAGUCAAAUAAUCAUCCUUUCAAUUAGCAUAAUUAGCUGUAAAUAUAUACACGUCAGUUUAGCUAAUUUAGUGGGUUGAAAGUCAACUUGGCAACUUGCAAAUACAUUGUAUUUAUAUGAGAAAUCAGAAUGAAGGGGGAUACAAUUUUGACCCUCAUUUCUUAGUCUCUCUGAGUUUAAUAUCCCUCAUUUCUUAGUCUCUCUGAGUUUAAUAUCCCUCAUUUCUCUGAGUUUAACAUGGUAUCAGCCUAGGUUACAAACCAAGAACCUAGUCUGUUUUUUAUUCUUUUCACUUAUGUGUCUCAGUUAUUCGUUUCCCAGUCCAGAUUAACCUCUUGUUCGAUACCUAUUUCCAUAGUCACAUGUCUACCGAAAAACAUGAAAUCUUGGUGGUUCGCCUUAAUGGCAAAAACUACUUAACUUGGCCAUUCCAUUUCGAGAUAUUUGUCACAGGAAAAGAUUUGUGGGGUCAUGUUGAUGGCAGCACCCCAUUUCCUGACAAAGAGAAAGAUAAGGUUGCACAUGCCAAAUGGGUAGUCAAAGAUGCUCAAGUCAUGUCCUGGAUCCUAGGCUCUGUUGAUCCAAACAUUGUCCUGAAUCUCUGACCUUACAAAACAGCAGCCACAAUGUGGAAUUACUUGAAGAAAGUCUACAAUCAGAACAACGCCGCUCGAAGAUUCCAGCUUGAACACGACAUAGCUUUGUUUAAACAGGAUAGUCUCUCCAUCUCUGAAUUUUACUCUCAAUUCAUGAAUCUUUGGGCUGAAUAUACUGAGAUAGUUUAUGCAGACUUGACUUCUGAAGGUCUAAGUUCUGUACAAUCUGUUCAUGAAACUACCAAGCGAGAUCAAUUUCUUAUGAAAUUGAGAUCUGAAUUUGAAGGUAUUCGUCCAAUCUCAUGCAUAGAAACCCUGUACCAUCAUUGGAUGCAUGUUUCAAUGAUCUAUUACGUGAAGAACAACGUCUGCUGACACAGUCCAUCAUUGAAGAUCAAAAAGUGUCUUCUGUUCCAGUGGCUUAUGUGGCACGAGGAAAGACAAGAAGUCAUGACAUGAGUGCUGUUCAAUGUUUCUGUUGCAAGAAAUUGGGACAUUAUGCUUCAAACUGUCCAAACAAAGUCUGCAAUUACUGCAAACAAGACAAACAUAUUCUCAAGGAAUGUCCAAUAAGGCCACCAAGGAGAAAUGAUACAGCCUUUACAACCUCGGUUGAUUCAUCUAUUCCUAGCAACUCGAUCAAUCCAGCACCAGUUCAGCAGAAUGCUCCUAGUAGUUCAACAGUCACCCCUGAAAUGGUUCAACAAAUGAUCAUUUAUGCCUUCUCUACUCUAGGAAUCUCAGGUAAAUCCUCUUCCUCCUGGUACUUGAAGGAAAAUCGAUUUACAUUACAGAAUAAGCAGCGGAAAAAAUUUCGAUUUUCUUUCCUUGGAUCAUUACGAAUUACACAUGAAUCAGUGAUUCGAUUGUUACCUCGAAGUGUGAAACUGAAAUUGAAAGCUGGAAUCUGGAAACCGAAAUCACGAUCACAGCAAAGCAAGCAGCAAGCAGCAAAGCCUCUAGCAAGUCCACACGAACAGUGCUCCUCCAAAACUCGGUGCUAGCCAAGGAAUCGGAAGUCUCAGAGAGCUAGGGUUUCUUCAAAGCGCGCAACGUCAAACUUCAGCACUAGGGUUCUAUUUAUAGAACUCCUUGUGUGCUAUGCAAGUCAGAAGCCACUAUUGGACUUCACUAAGCCCAACAACGAGUUUAGUAAUUUUGCUAACUAAUUAGCUUUAUUUACUAAAUACACCCGUUAUAUAAGUCGUACUUAUAUAUUUCUCUUUUGACUGUUCUUUGUGUGUGACCCUAUAGGUUCUGGUCACGUUGGCAAUAAUAUUAAAUCUGAUAUUUAAUAUUAUAAACAAUGAGCGGUAUCUAGCAACACAUCAUUGCUACCCAAGUGACAAGAAUGUCAAGUGAUCUGACGAAACCUUUCAUGAUAAUAUUCAUGUGUAUAAUUACUCCUUUGUCUCGAUACCUUUUAUUGAUCUCAAGGCAUAGGUAUUGUCACCCUUGUAUAGAUCAAUAAUUAUAUUUCUUGAUUCCGAAAUAUACUGAAUAACGAAUAAGUUCAAUAUCUCAUAUUGACUUCGUUCGGCAUGGCCAUGCAGUUUUACAGUCAUAUUUCAUCAAGAGGCCUAAAGAUAUAUCUCCUGUUUAUGAGGAGGGACAAAUCCCAUCUAGGACACUCAUGCCCCUUAGCAUGAUUCAUCAAGUACCCAUCAACCAACGUUAUGAUUAUCCUUUUACAGACAACGUUAGAAUGGCAACAAAGCACUUGAGUCCACAUUUAGGGAUCAUAGUGGUUUCAGGUCUAAGAGCGAUAUACAUUAUUAUCAUUGUGAGAAUAUCUUAUGACAAUUUCAUAACUUACUAUGUAGUAUUCUCACGGUGGAUCAAUCCAAUAUAAAUAUUACUCCUAAUAUUUAUAUCUAUGUAUAGACUUGAUAUCUCAUAUCUAUGACCCAUGAGAUGCGGUCAUCAGUCUACAUACAUAAUUGUCUCGACGCUUUAUUAUUAUCCUUUAUUCAUAUUAAAGCUUUGACUACAGAUACAUUUAAUAAUAGCGUUCUUAAAGAUAAUGUAAUCUCAUGAUUAAGUCACACUUAAUAUAUUAUUACACGAACUAUCUAUUCUAAGGACUUUAUUAACAUUAUCUAAAUAUAAUAAAGAGUGCCAUAUAUUAUUCAAUAAUAAAAGUCAUGAUACAUAAGAUAGGUUUAACAUAAACUAUUGGCCUCUAGGGCUUACACCAACAAUCUCCCACUAGCACUAGAGCCAAUUAGGCAUAAACCUAAUACCCAUAGAUCUAGUAUGACCAUCAUGCUUCUGCUGGGCAAGAGCUUUAGUAAGUGGAUCAGCAACAUUGUCUAAUUUUGGUACUUUGCAUAUUUUAACAUCUCCUCUUUCGAUAAUCUCUCGAAUAAGAUGAUAAUGCCUUUGUAUGUGUUUGGAUUUCUGGUGAGAUCUAGGUUCUUUGGCUUGUGCGAUUGCUCCAUUGUUAUCACAUAGUAAUUCAAUGGGAUCCACAAUACUUGGAACUAUUCCAAGAUCAGAAAUGAAUUUCUUAAUCCAAACAGCUUCCUUUGCGGCAUUGGAUGCAGCAAUAUACUCGGCUUCGGUUGUAGAAUCAGCGACUGUUUCUUGCUUUGAACUUUUCCAGCUCACAGCACCGCCAUUUAAGCAAAACACAUAUCCAGAUUGCGAUUUAAAAUCAUCAUGAUCGAUCUGAAAACUAGCAUCAGUGUAACCAAUUACAGAGAGCUCUUCUUGACCUCCAUAGAUCAAGAAGGUAUCCUUAGUUCUUCUCAAGUACUUAAGGAUAUUCUUGACAGCAAUCCAAUGAUCGUUGCCAUGAUUAGACUGGUAUCUGCUCGUAGCACUUAAAGCAUACGAGACAUCUGGUCGAGUACAUAUCAUAGCAUACAUGAUAGAACCAAUUGCUGAAGCAUAUGGAAUAUCACGCGUUCGAUCCCUUUCUUCAUUAGUCGAAGGGGAUUGAGUCUUUGAUAGAUUUAUUCCUGACGACAUAGGGAUGAAUCCUUUCUUGGAAUCAUGCAUAUUGAAACGUCUCAGGACUUUGUCUAUAUAUGUACCCUGACUUAAGCCAAGCAAUCUUUGUGAUCUAUCUCUAUAGAUCCUGAUUCCUAAUAUAUAGGAGGCUUCACCUAAGUCUUUCAUAGAAAAGCAUUUCCCUAACCAAGUUUUGAUUUCUUGUAAUGUAGGGAUGUCAUUUCCGAUUAAUAAUAUGUCAUCCACAUAUAAAAUCAGAAAUGAAACUAUGCUCCCACUAACCUUCUUGUAAACACAAGGCUCAUCUUCAUUUUUAAUGAAUCCAUACUGUUGUACAGUUUCAUCAAAGCGAAGAUUCCAACUUCUAGAAGCUUGCUUCAAUCCAUAGAUUGAUCGCUGCAAUUUGCACACCCUUUUGGUUGCUUUAGGAUCGCCAAAUCCUUCAGGUUGUGUCAUGCACACAUCCUCAAGAAGAUUUCCAUUAAGGAAAGCAGUUUUGACAUCCAUUUGCCAAAUUUCAUAAUCAUGGUAUGCUGCGAUAGCAAGUAAGAUCCGAAUGGAUUUAAUCAUUGCAACUGGUGAAAAGGUUUCAUCAUAGUCUACACCAUGAAUUUGUUUGAAUCCUUUAGCAACCAGUCGCGCUUUGUACGUACUAACCUUUCCAUCCAUGUCAAUUUUAUUUUUGAAAACCCACUUGCAUCCUAUAGGAUUAAUUCCUUCAGGUGCUUCAAUCAAGUUCCAAACUUGAUUUGUGUACAUGGAAUCCAUUUCAGAUUUCAUGGCUUCAAGCCACUUCUCAGAUUCGAGGCCAGUAAUGGCCUCCGUGUAAGUCACAGGCUCAUCUUGGUCCAUGAGCAAUACAUCACCCUCCUGUGAUAUGAGAUACCUAUAUCUCUCGGGUUCUUGACGUAUCCUGCUAGACCUACGUGGUUCUUGUGUUAUUGGAAUAGGAUUUUCUGUCAUAAGAGUUUGUGUAUCCUGUCCCUGUUCCUCUAUCGGUAUUUCAUUACUCUGUGGGUCUUGAAUUUCUUCAAGAUCUACUUUGCUCCCACUGAUUCUUUUGGAGACAAAAUCCUUCUCAAGGAAGACUCCAUUUCUGGCAACAACAAUUGUGCCUUCAGAUGGUUUGUAAAAGUAGUAUCCCCUAGUUUCUUUAGGAUAUCCCACAAAGAAACAUUUAUCAGAUUUUUGUUCAAGCUUAGUAGACAUAAGUCGUUUUAUAUAAGCUUCACAACCCCAAAUCUUAAAAUGUCCCACAUUGGGUGUUCGACCAUUCCAUAUCUCAUAUGGUGUCUUUUCUACCGCUUUAGAUGGAACUCGGUUAAGUGUGUAAGCUGCAGUUAAUAAGGUGUAUCCCCAUAAGGAGUUUGGAAGUUCAGCAUGACUCAUCAUAGAUCGGACCAUGUCUAACAAGGUUCGAUUUCUCCUUUCAGAAACACCGUUCCAUUGUGGUGUUCCAGGAGGUGUGAGUUGGGACAAUAUCCCACAUUCUUUUAGAUGAUUGUCAAACUCUAAGCUCAAAUACUCUCCACCUCGAUCAGAUCGAAGCAUUUUGAUUUUCUUGCCUAGUUGGUUUUCUACUUCAUUUUGAAACUACUUGAAUAAAGAUAGUGAUUCAGAUUUAUGUUUCAUUAGAUACACAUAUCCAAAUCUACUAAAGUCAUCAGUGAACCUAAUGAAGUAGUGAAAGCCUCCUCUAGCAGUUAUGUUUAGGGGUCCACACACAUCAGUAUGUAUGAGACCUAAAAGAUCACUAGCCCUUUCACCUUGACCGGUAAAUGAAGCUUUUGUCAUUUUUCCCAAUAAACAAGAUCGACAUGUUUCAUAUGAUUCAAAAUCAAAAGAAUCCAAAAGUCCAUCUUUAUGGAGUUUGGAAAUGCGAUUCUCAUUUAUAUGGCCUAAACGACAAUGCCAAAGGUAAGUUGGAUUCAACUCAUUAGGUUUCAACCUUUUAGCGUUAAUGUUAUAGAUAGGCAUAUCGAGAUCUAAGACAUAAAGUCCAUUACUCAAAUUUGCGUUAGCAUAAAGAAUAUUAUCCAAAUAAACGGAACAACAUUUGUUCUUUAUUGUAAAAUAAAAUCCAGCCUUGUCCAAACAAGAAAUUGAAAUAAUAUUCCUGCUAACGGCAGGUACAUAAUAGCAGUUUUCUAAAUUAAGUAAAAGACCACUAGGUAAGGUCAAUACAUAAGUUCCAACAGCUAAAGCAGCAACUUUUGCUCCAUUGCCAACUCUAAGAUCGACCUCGCCUUUUGCCAAUGCUCUACUCUUUCUCAGACCCUGCACAUCAGUACAAAUAUGAGAACCACAUCCAGUAUCUAAUACCCAUGAUGUAGAAGUAGACAUAUUAAUUUCUAUAAAAAAAAUACCUGCAGAAGUAGUAGGAACAUUUCCAUUCUUCUUAUCUUCCAGAUACUUUGGACAGUUUCGCUUCCAAUGCCCAGUGUUGUUGAAGUAGAAGCACUUGCCAUCCUUACCCACGCCUCCAGUAGGCUUCAAAGCUUUGGUUGAUGGCUUGGCAACAGCUUUGCCUUUGCCAUUUCCCUUAGACUUAUUAGGCUUCUUAUGGUGUUGAUAGAUAAUUAGCAAGUGUACUAACUUAUAUCGAAGUAAUAAAAUUUAUAAGAUUCGUUUCCACAGGGACUGUUUCAACUUCUACUCGGUAGUAACGUUAUUAUUAAGGAUGUUUGUAAAAUGGGGGGUUGCACUGAGGCAAUUGGUUUAAUUUGCAAGUUAAAAUAAAAUGGUUAAGGAAAAAUUGGUUUAAGAAAUAAUAUGGAGUGAUGACUAGGUCAUUCGAUUCAUCUGCUCAUCGCUCAUUAGCAACCUGUUUCUUACGUUUACGAACGCUAUAAAGUUUACGACAAAUUAACAAAAUAGCUUAGGUCAAUCCCUUGAUCCUAAGCCCUCUUUUCUGAUUAUAAUUCCCUAAUCCCUUAGGUGAACCUAUAGUCAUCAAAGGUUUUAAGUCCGUUAAUUCAAGUAUCACAACCUAACAACGCUCCAUCCCUAGAUUGUCCGUUAGAUUGAACAGUAUAAAUAUGUCAGAGUUAAACGCUAGUGUCAGUAGUCAUAUAUACUCUAAAAUCAAUUAUAUUGGGUCAGAAUCAUAAAAGCUUUAAGAACAAUUUAUACUGAAUAAACUAGAAUGGCAUUCAUAAAGAUUAAGAGUUGCAGGUUACAUAAACAUGAGCUAGAACAAAAUCAUCUCUUGACCUAAUCACAAAGGAUCUAGCUACUCAUGACUAAAGCACAAAUAACUAAUGUAAAAGAAGGAUUCAUUACAUGAAAUUGGUAACCGAAUAUGAGUUUCGAUGGUCUCACACCUUCUCUCCAGAUCUCCAGCUCCAAAAGUCAGUUUCUUUCUCCAAAUUUUCCAACCCUUGGCUCAGAAAACAACUUCCCUUUUAUAGGAAAAUUCUCAGAUACGCCAAAAUCGUACUCCGAUGCUGUAAAUCGGAGCACGAUGGCUUCAUUAAAGUCAUAUCCUGGCUGGAGCGUCUGCCAAAUCGUAGCCCGAUUUGGUUCCAUCGGAGCACGAUUUUUUACGGGACAAAAUGUCUCAAAUUUGCUGUAAAAUCGGAGUACGAUGCUGUAAAUCGGAGCACGAUUUCUUAUUUGUUUGCCAACAUCAAAUGUGUCAUUUGAAGCUUCUAUCUCAUGCAAAAUCACCCGAACUCAACCAAAAUUACAUAAAAACUAUAACAAAAGUGAUAUAUGACCUAGUGUCAUCACAACCCCAAACUUGCAUCGUUACUUGUCCUCAAGGAACUUACUUUAAAAUGAAAAUUAACAGAAAAAUAACAUUUACCUCAACAAUGGUAAUAUCAAAAGUUCAUCUUCUUGUUAGCGUUAGUGGGCUAACUUGCUUGCUAGAACAUCCAUUCCACAACUUCACGCAAUAUCAUGGAUAAAAGGGUACACAAGUCGACAUAUUAAUCACUAUAUUACCAAAACUUGAAAAACUUCUAAACAUCAAUCAAAGUUACAUCACAAUACACACUUUUAAGGACUUUCAUGGUGUAACGGGGCUAAGGUUACAGGUGGGAUUAUUUGGGAAGUAGGCUUAAAAUAACAAAUUGGAGUUAAGCAUUUCCUACUUACUUCGGCAACUGGAAUACCACAACCUGGAAUGAUUUGCUCAAAUUUGAGAACUAGAGUACACAUCAGAAGUUCUGGAUCACUCAAUUAACAAGUCUUUGUCUGAAUUCAUUUCAUAACUGUAUACACACACUUUUUUUUUUGAGUUGAUUGAUUUUUUUUUUUUUUUUGUAUCAACUUGAUUGAAUUUUUUUUUUUUUUUUUUCAAUUGAGAUAAUGUGAUCUAUUUACUCAUGUUCUCUAUAUCCCUCACCCCAAACUUAGACUUUUGCAAACACAUAACAAUGCCUAACUCCAACAAAACUUGGGUUAAUAAUCUUAAGGUCUAUAGGCUUGUAAUAUGGUUUGUCACCGAAACAACGGGGUCUAACCUAUUGGCUCAAAGUUGGCUUAAAAAUGGAAAUAUUCAAUGUAACAGGUAGGCUUCGAAAGCUCAAGGUACAAGCACUUUGCCUUAGUGUGUAAGCAAUGUAACCAAUUGACAUAAAGAAAAUUUGCAAGUCCCAGAAAUAGUAUCAACAUGGAACACUCAUAUUUGUGAAAAUUGUAAAACAAAGAUUUGGCUUUAGAACUUACUAGCUGAGGUUUAUGGAAGUUGUGGUUACCUAAACAUUCACACUAUCGUACACUUCACCAACGGAACCUCAUGCAAGCUCUACCUCCUUGAACUUUUGAUACACCAUUGAUGAAAAAAAUGCUACCUGACUGGUAAAACUCAAGACAAAGCAAAUUCAUUAAUAAUAAACAAGUGCAGAUGCAAUUACAAAACAUGGGGGAAUACAUAAUUCAUAACACUAGCAGCAGUCACACACAUAUUUUAUUUUACUUUUGAAAAGAAAUACCAGCCAAAUAAAUGAAAUUAGAAAAUAUAAUGGGUUGCCUCCCAUCAAGCGCUUUCUUUUACGUCAUUAAGCUUAACGCCUCAAACAUUGUUAGGGUGGCAGAUAUGAAAGAAAGAAUAUGUCAUCUUUCUUAUUCCUCUUCUUUGGUAGGAAUUCCAUGAACUUCAUACAAAGUAGCAGAUGCUCCCAUGAUCCAACUGCUAAACUUUUGACAUUUGAGUUAUCCCUCCAUAAAGAAGAAUAGAUAUACCUUUGCAAAGGAAUGGUUUCUUUCAACCCUGUUGGUUGAGACUUCAAAUAGAGAUGAACACUCCUCACUUGUGCAUUUUCUUCCACCACAACAUGACACUCAGUCUCCAUCUCAACCAGCUGCUUCUCACACUCAUUCGCUUCCCGAACAAGAUCACCACACUGAACUUCAAAUUUCUCAAAUGGAACUUGAUUUAAUAUCAAGAAAUCAUCUAAAAUAUUUUGAAGUUGAGUAUUGUAAUCGAUGUUGAUAAGCUCUUUCAGCCCUUCACAAUCUGUACCCUGAUGAUUCGCCUCGUGAAGAUCACAUCUCGCAUUUAAUCUUGAGAUUUGAUUGUCCCAUUGUUUUAUCUUCCAAGAAAGCAGAUAAUUUUCAUACUCCAACGUAACAAUCUCCUCUGUGUCAUAAAGGUGUAACCUGUCUACUAACCUGUUUAUCAUAGCUGCAAAACUUGGAUAAACUUUUUAGCAGCAAAGUACAAUGAGAUAAACAUGAAGAGCAUAAAUAAUAUAUUUUUUUUCAAUUUUUUUAAAAUAUAGACAAAUAAAUUAAAUGACAGAAAUCCUAAACAAUAACGAAAUUUCCAAGCUGAAAUGAUUCAACAGUCCCCGGCAGCGGCGCCAAAAACUUGAUAGAUAAUUAGCAAGUGUACUAACUUAUAUCGAAGUAAUAAAAUUUAUAAGAUUCGUUUCCACAGGGACUGUUUCAACUUCUACUCGGUAGUAACGUUAUUAUUAAGGAUGUUUUGUAAAAGGGGGGGUUGCACUGAGGCAAUUGGUUUAAUUUGCAAGUUAAAAUAAAAUGGUUAAGGAAAAAUUGGUUUAAGAAAUAAUAUGGAGUGAUGACUAGGUCAUUCGAUUCAUCUGCUCAUCGCUCAUUAGCAACCUGUUUCUUACGUUUACGAACGCUAUAAAGUUUACGACAAAUUAACAAAAUAGCUUAGGUCAAUCCCUUGAUCCUAAGCCCUCUUUUCUGAUUAUAAUUCCCUAAUCCCUUAGGUGAACCUAUAGUCAUCAAAGGUUUUAAGUCCGUUAAUUCAAGUAUCACAACCUAACAACGCCCCAUCCCUAGAUUGUUCGUUAGAUUGAACAGUAUAAAUAUGUCAGAGUUAAACGCUAGUGUCAGUAGUCAUAUAUACUCUAAAAUCAAUUAUAUUGGGUCAGAAUCAUAAAAGCUUUAAGAACAAUUUAUACUGAAUAAACUAGAAUGACAUUCAUAAAGAUUAAGAGUUGCAGGUUACAUAAACAUGAGCUAGAACAAAAUCAUCUCUUGACCUAAUCACAAAGGAUCUAGCUACUCAUGACUAAAGCACAAAUAACUAAUGUAAAAGAAGGAUUCAUUACAUGAAAUUGGUAACCGAAUAUGAGUUUCGAUGGUCUCACACCUUCUCUCCAGAUCUCCAGCUCCAAAAGUCAGUUUCUUUCUCCAAAUUUUCCAACCCUUGGCUCAGAAAACAACUUCCCUUUUAUAGGAAAAUUCUCAGAUACGCCAAAAUCGUACUCCGAUGCUGUAAAUCGGAGCACGAUGGCUUCAUUAAAGUCAUAUCCUGGCUGGAGCGUCUGCCAAAUCGUAGCCCGAUUUGGUUCCAUCGGAGCACGAUUUUUUACGAGACAAAAUGUCUCAAAUUUGCUGUAAAAUCGGAGCACGAUGCUGUAAAUCGGAGCACGAUUUCUUAUUUGUUUGCCAACAUCAAAUGUGUCAUUUGAAGCUUCUAUCUCAUGCAAAAUCACCCGAACUCAACCAAAAUUACAUAAAAACUAUAACAAAAGUGAUAUAUGACCUAGUGUCAUCAGUGCUUUUUGAACUUGCCAUUAUUAACCAUUAAAAUGGCAGCAACCUUUCCUUUUCCCUUCAUAUUUUUCUCAGCAGUUCUCAACAUAGUUGCAAGCUGUGGAAGUGUUUUGUCCAUGCCAUUCAUUAGAAAGUUCUGGACAAAACCGUUGAAACUUUCAGGCAACGAUUGCAGAACAAGAUCAACGACUAGCUCUUGUUCAAGGACAAAUCCCAAACGAGCUAGGUUUUCAGAGUACCCAAUCAUUUUGAGCACAUGAGGUCCUACAGGACCUCCCUCUGACAGCUUGGUAGAAAACAGGGCUUUAGAGACAUCAAACCUCUCAUGCCUGGCUUGCUCUUCAUAAAGAGUCUUUAGAUGUCCGAUCAUAUCGAACGCUGUCAUCCCUUCAUGCUGUUUUUGCAGCUCGGGAGUCAUUGUAGCCAGCAUGAUGCAUGAAACUUCUACGGAAUCAUUGAGAUGCUUGGCAUGAGCAUUUCUUAGAGCCGCAGAAGCUCCAGCAGGUGGUGUCUCAGGAAUGGGUCCAUCCAACACAUACAGCUUUUUUUCGUGGGUGAGGACAAUCCUCAUGUUACGGAACCAGUCUAAAAAAUUUGUUUCAGUCAAUUUUUCUUUUUCAAUGAGGGAUCGCAAAAUGUUUGUGGAAGCGUUAUUGGCCAUCUACAAUUUAAAAUGUGCAAAAUAAGUAUCAUGAAAAUAUAUAUUUAAUUUGGUCUUUAAUUAAAUAUGCUCCCACUAUUUUACUCAAAUCAAAUGACCUUCAAACACUUGACUCGGAAAAUCCCGUUGGAAGAUUUUCUAGUGGAUUGAAAUCCUUAUUUCACCUUGUUUUAAGUCAACGGGGGCUGUACUUAAAACUCAGCGAUUUAGGUAGGAACAUUUCCAAUUGUAUCCUAUACAACUUUCAAAUCAAUUGGCGGAAUAACUCUUUAUUCAAUUCUAUCAUAUAGAAGUCGUCCAAUUAUAGCUUCUAAAUUUAUUCUAAUCUUAUUAAAAUUAAUUUAGUUAAGUUUGACCCAAAAGAAUAACACUUGGGUAAAUUGGAUUACCGCACCGCAACUUACUAGUAUAGAAUAUGCGCUUCACGGAGGCAAAACUCACAUAUUCGAUAUUAGUCUUGAAGGGUGUUAAACUUUUGGAAAGCUUUAAACUUAAUAUUUUAAUUUGAAGGAUUUUUAUUAAAUUUGAUCUCACCUCACCACGGCUUAUAUAUCAUAUAUAUUCGCACUCCAAUCAAAACAUGCAUAACAUUUAUACAAAAAAUAAAAGUGACAUGAUUAUGGCCAUCCUAACGCUAUGACUCUCUCAAGCCAAUGAGAGAAUCUAAACUAAUCCUAGAAACGACCUUGCUUCUCCAAGCUUGACUUCCAGGACUAUCCUUACGUCUUGAGCCCUAUUACCUCCUUGUAUUCUAUUACAUUACAUAUGAAGAAAACUCGUUUUACAUACGAGGGAGUGGAUGAGAAGAGAAUGUACAAUAGAGAUAUAAGAGAAAGGCACGACACGCAGGCCGUAUUUUAAUAUCCAUAAGAAAUAAAAUAAAAGGACUAAGGCCAUAAUCAUUCAUAUGAUAAUAAUAACAGACACACUUUUAUUAUUAUUAAUUAUUCCUUAUAAUUAAAUAAAUUAAAUUAAAAUUCGACAUAUGAUCACCCUAUGCAGAUUAGCCGGGGGUUCCGCAUUUCGCAUCAACAUUUGACACUUUUCUGAUUACCCUAAUCGUUUCGGCAAACCCUAAUUUUGUUACCACAAUCUGAUCUUAUUAAACAAGUACUCUGAUUGUUUAUUCACGUAUCAUGAUCGAGUCUAGGAUGCUUCACCAGAGUACACAGAAUCGGUUACGAAGCUCCAUACAUCAGAUCAAUUAACAUGAAAAAUAUCAUCUGACUUAUUUAAACUAUGAUCAAAUCCAGUAUAUCAUAUAUACCGUUGUUAUACAGAAUUUACCGAUCAUGCUUCUGUCGAUAUGUAUGAUCGAAAGGUUUGAUGUUUCACCAGAAACGGUUUCUGAAACAUCAAAACAGAUCGAAAAGCCAUGCACAUACACGUGAUUGAUAUUAUUAUUAACUGCGUUUUAUGAUCGAUCAAUCAUGUUUCUGUCGUUAUGUAUAAUCGAAACGUCGAUGUUUCACCAGAAACGGUUUCUGAAACAUUGAAUCAAAUCGAAAAGCCAUGCACAGAAAACAUAAUAUGAUACGAUGCCAAUUUUAAUUUUCUUUAUUAUUUAAGUUCGUUCAAUAUGUUUAAUCAAAUUAAAACAUAAAGCAGUAACAAAGCAAUCCGAUUCAAGGUUUCGUAAUUGGCUUUGAUACCACUGAAGGAAAAUCGAUUUACAUUACAGAAUAAGCAGCGCAAAAAAUUUCGAUUUUCUUUCCUUGGAUCAUUACGAAUUACACAUAAAUCAGUGAUUUGAUUGUUACCUCGAAGUGUGAAACUGAAACUGAAAGCUGGAAUCUGGAAACCGGAAUCACGAUCACAGCAAAGCAAGCAGCAAAGCCUCUAGCAAGUCCACACGAACAGUGCUCCUCCAAAACUCGGUGCUAGCCAAGGAAUCGGAAGUCUCAGAGAGCUAGGGUUUCUUAUCUCUUAUUGACUUAGUUCGGCAUGGCCAUGCAGUUUUAUAGUCAUAUUUCAUCAAGAGGCCUAAGGAUAUAUCUCUUGUUUAUGAGGAGGGACGAAUCUCAUCUAGGACACUCAUGCCCCUUAGCAUGAUUCAUCAAGUACCCAUCAACCAACGUUAUGAUUAUCCUUUUACAGACAACGUUAGAAUGGCAACAAAGCACUUGAGUCCACAUCUAGGGAUCAUAGUGGUUUCAGGUCUAAGAGUGAUAUACAUUAUUAUAACAAAAAUACCUGCAGAAGUUGAUUCGGGGGCUUCCAACCACAUGACCAGCAAUGCCCAAUUUCUUUCUAAUAUCAAAAAAUAUUUUGGAAAUCUCAAGAUACAUACUGCUGAUGGAAAUCAAUUACCUAUCACAGCCACCGGUGAUAUUUCUUCAUCUCUAACAAAUGUUUUUGUCUCUCCUGGUCUCACUAGUAAUCUCAUUUCGGUUGGUCAAUUAGUCGAGAAUGAUUGUCAAGUACAAUUCUCACAAUCUGGUUGUCUUGUGCAGGAUCAACAAUCAGGGAAGAUAAUCGCGAAGGGGCCUAAAGUUGGACGUCUUUUCCCAAUCCAGUUUUCAUUGCCUCAAAGUCUUUCUUUGCCUUUAAUUUCUUGUAAUUCUGCUAUUGUUGAUUACUAAGUGUGGCAUAAGCGUCUUUGACAUCCAAACGCAAAUGUACUUCAUGGGUUGCUAAAAUCUAAUUUUCUUGGAAAUAAACACACCCCAUCACUUAAUUCUGUUCAUUUUGAUUGCAUUCCUUGUAAGCUUGGUAAAAGUAAAAUUUUGCCAUUUCCAACACAUCAGUCUAAUGUAACACAACCUUUUGAUAUAAUCCAUAGUGAUGUUUGGGGUGUGACACCAAUUAUAUCUCAUGCUCAUUACAAAUAUUUUGUAACUUUUAUUGAUGAUUAUAGUCGUUUCACAUGGGUCUAUUUUCUGCGAUCAAAAGAUGAAGUCUUUUCUACAUUCAAAUUUUUUCAUGCUUAUGUCCAGACCCAAUUUUCAUCAAAAAUCAAAAUAUUUCACUCUGACAAUGGGGGGAGUACAUGUCACACUCAUUUCAGGAAUUUUUGCAAUCUAAUGGCAUUAUAUCUCAAAGGUCAUGCCCCUCAACUCCACAACAAAAUGGGGUAGCAGAAAGAAAAAACUGUCAUUUGCUUGAUGUUGUUCUCACCCUUUUGUUAGAGUCUCAUGUGCCUUCACGAUUUUGGUGUGAAGCUCUUUCCACUGUUGUCCAUAUUAUAAACAAAAUGCCAUCUCCGUCAAUAGGUAAUGAGUCCCCUUUCACUCGGUUAUAUGGUCACCCACCAAAUUACUCCACUCUACGUGUCUUCGGUUGUGUGUGUUAUGUCCAUCUUCCUCCACAAGAACGCACCAAACUCACUGCACAAUCUGUUGAAUGUGCUUUUCUUGGAUAUUCUCCUCAUCAAAAGGGUUUUCUAUGUUAUGAUCCUAACCUUCGUAGGAUUCGGGUAUCUAGAAAUGUCAUAUUCCAAGAAAAUAAAUAUUUUUUUGCAUCACAUCAUGACCUUGUCUCUUCUCCAGUUUCUAUUUUGCCAUUGUUUUCUGACUCUCAUUCAAGGCAACAACUUUCUAAACCGCUCUUGACCUACAAAAGACGUAGUACUGCCACUCAUGGGCCCCCUCAAGAUAAUUCCUUGGUUGCUGGUCCAGUAGAAGAACCAGAACCAGCUCCUCUACGACGCAGCUCACGUGAAAGUAAACCCCCAGAAAGGUAUAUCAAUUGCAUGAAAACAACAUUAUCUUCUAUUCCUAUACCUUCAUCUUAUAAACAGGCCAUGGAGAAUGAAUGCUGGCAGAAAGCUAUAGAAUCUGAACUUCUUGCCUUAGAAGAAAAUCAAACAUGGGAUAUAGUGCCAUGUGUUAUACCCUGUUUUUGGACCUAAAAAUACUGGGCCCAAUUUCAUUUCAAACUUUGUCAAUUAUCAAAUUUCAACUGCACAGUUCAAAUUGUCACUGCCUCGCAGUAUUUUCAAUCACAAUUUUACCUAUGUUUUUCUUGCAUAAAACCUUUCGAAAUGUCUUUACUUGUCUUGUAAGUCAUUCAAAAGUGUCUAUGAAUCAUUACAUUGCUUUUUCUACAGUUUAUUUCAAAAUUUGCAAAAAGUCGUACAGAAGGGUAUUUUGGUCAUUUCCUGCAGUGGGACCCAUUUUCAUCCUUGUGACUGUCUCUGAGUCUUUUCAGAUUGAUUUUUAACAUUUCAUCAGUAAACCUUGUUAAAUUCAUUUCAAACUUGCAUCUGAGUCAGUGUCAAGUCAAUUUGAAUAUGUUUAGGUCAUUUUUAGCCCUAGGGGCAUUUUGGUCAUUUCACACAAAAUUUCGGCAUAGAGAGGUUACUUUGAAGUACCUCAUUUAAGCCAUUGAUUCGUUUUAGUCCGUUUUGUCAAUUUUAUUUUUUGUUUCGCUUUACGUUUGGUCAAAUUACGUUUUUUAUUCAAUUUUAUUUUUAAUUGCAUUUUGGUCCCUCAAUUGAGGUCCCAAAAUUGCAUUUUUUGUCCAAACAGUUUUUAAUUUCAUUUCAGUCCUUACUUUCAUUUUCCAGUCCUUUUUUAUUAUUUUUUUUGCAGAAAAGGUCCCAGGGGCAUUUUUGUCCAGAAUUUUCGCACACUUCAGUCUCAGUCCAGAUGGCAUUUUCUCAUUGGCCCACAAAUACACAUGGCAGGCUAUAAAUAGAUGUGUCAGAUCCAAAGAAAAAAAAGAAUCAGUCACAUCACAAAAACAGAAAUUUCUUUCUCUCUCCAAAAUCAGUUAGAUCCAAAACAGAAAAUCACCAAAAAUUCUCCAAGAACACCAAGAACAAAUCUUCACAAAAUCAACAAAUCCGAACCGGAUUCACUCAAAACCAACUCAAAUCAUCACAAAAUCAACAAAUCCGAACCGGAAUCAUUCAAAACCACCGCGAAUCAUCACACCAACACCAAAUCCGUACCAGAUUUUCGAGCAAAAGCGGCACCACCGGAGCAUAACGCGCGCGCGGGGCGGAGAGAAGAGGAGGCUCGGAUUUUUCCUCCGUUUCACAACGACGGUAACACUUUUUUCCCUCGUUUUCGCGCAUAUACACAUGUGAAAAGUUUGUUACGAAUCAAGAUUUGUAGAUCUAAGCUUGUACGUUCGGAUUUUUGAAAUUUUGAGGCCGGAUUCGGACUCUAGAGCGAAAAGGAUAUCUAGAUCCGUAAGCUUUUUUACAAAAAGAGUGAAAAAAUUCCGAAAGUUCAAGUGUAGAUCUACGACGAAUCUCUCACCCCUUUUUAAAACUAGCACCGGAUUUGUGUAGAGGAGGUGGUGACGGAACUUUUGAUGUAAAAAUUUUGAAAAAAAAAAAGUAGUUUGAAUUUUCCGGCGCGGUGGCGCCGCCGCCGGAAACCGGCCGGCCGCCGCGCCGGAAUCACCACCACCAUCAGCUCCGGCCGCCGUGUUUUAGAGAGAAGGGAGAGCUUCUCUCUCUAAGUUUAACUUAGAGAGAGAAGAAGAAAAGGUUUUGUGAUUUUUUUUGUGAAGAAAAUCCUUUUUAUACUCCCUCCGAUCCCACGCGCGCGCGUGCGUGCUCUUGUUGUGUUCCCUCGCUCUGUGAACCAUCAGAUCUGGAUUGUUCCAAGAUCUGAUGGCUGCUGUGUGUUUGAUUUUGAAUCCUGUGCAUGACUUUUUGUGUGAAAUAUGGUAUAUCUUCUGUUUGAACCGUUAGAUCUUUGAUCUAACGGUCACUGUGCUUCCUGCAUUUUACACUAUCUUUUGUGCCUUUUUCUGGACCCUUUGAUCUUUGAUCAAGUGGCUGUGAUGUGAUCUUGAGGGCUAGAUCUGGACCUCUGGAUUCAUCCAACGGUCCAGAUUAAAUCCUGCUGAGUUUUUUUUUAACUGCUUUUUAAUUGCGUUUUAAAUACCUUUUUUACACUUUCUUGGUGUUUUAUGCUUCUAAAAAAUUUUCUAAAAAUAUUUCCCUAUCAUUUUAAUUUUUCCUCUAAGUAUUAGAAUUUAUUUGCUUAUUUUUGCAUUUAUUUCCUUUACUUCGUUCUUUAAUUUUUGCUCAUUAAAAUUCCAUAUAUGUUCUUGAUGCAUUUUUACAUAUUGUGAUUGAUAAAUUCUCAUGUUUUUACCCCUUUUUAUUGCAUAUUCAUUUGGUGCAUUUUUCAUCAUUUCCAUUAUAUUUUUCCUUGUUUCACUAACAUUUUGUUCCUUAUGUGACUUCACUCAUAGCAUUUCACUAUCUCCUCCACUUUCUUUAGCUUAGCAUUUAUUUUUGCAAAUUUUAAUUCAUUCGGUGAUGUAAUUUGUUAUCAUUGGUUUGUAGCUUGGCAAAGAGGCCAUAGAAUGUAUUUAGGCAAUUUUUGUAAUAUGGACUAUGGACACUAUGGUGCACCGGCACGCACACACUCACCCUAGAUGUAUGCCUAGGAUUGCAUGUGUAGAUGUAUGGCUAGGAUUGCAUGGUUAAAUGAAUGCUUAGGUUUAAACACUUAGAGAAAAUCCAACUUUUUUCCAAAAAAUAUGCAAACAAACUCGCUUCAAAUAUUUUUCAUAAAAAUGGAGUCAAAACUCCAACAACUUUUCACCUUUUAUUUUCUUAAUAAAAUUCUCAAAUAAAUCUAAUCAUUUAGACUUUUUUGCAAAAUCACUAAACAAACCCCCACUUUUUCAUACUCUAAUGCUCAUGAAGCCUCUCAAUCCUUUUCUUCAAAAUCAUUUUCAAAAUUUAAAAUCAAACAAUUAAAACAAAAAAAACAAUAAGUCUUUUUUAGCAAGAACUACGAACGGUUUUGAUCCCUUAAAAGGGUACGUAGGCAAUGAGUCAAAACUCAUCCAAGCCGAAAUAAAAAUCAAAUUCUACUUCUUCUCACCCCCCAUUCUUGACUAAUCACACCUUCCCUUUUUUACAAAUAAGCAAUAAAACUGAAGCGUAGAAAUGAACUUAGGAGAGCGGUUCUUAUGGAAUACCAUAAUCGCUCCGGGUGCCUAACACCUUCCCGUAGCGAAAACGACCCCCGAAUCUAGAAACUUUUUAAGGGUUUUUCUCCUUUUACCCUUCCCAAGAAAAAAGAGAGAUAUCAACGGUCGAAAGGUUCAAGCCUAAUUUAUGACUUGACACCCGAAAAUCGCGAUAACAGAAAUGGCGACUUCACUGGGGACACUUUUAGCGGGUCACGCCUAGUUUUCCUUAGUUUAUAUUUACGCUUUGUUUUAUUGCUUACAUAUGUGAAUACUUGUUUAUUUUCAUUUGACGUGUGGGGUGAGAAUAUCAAAAGUCCUAUACCCGGGCUGAGUGAACUUAUGAAUAGGUAGAGAUAUAAUCGACAAUUCGAUCCGAGGGUUGCCUCGUGUAUUGGGUUAUGCGAUCAAUCUCACAUAGCUGAGGCAUUUUGGAAGUAAUAUUGUCGGCGUAUGUUGUCAUGCUUAGGCACUUUGCUUUCAAUUGUUCGACGAUGCUAUGGACCGUAGUUACCAAACCCAUCCCUGGCCUUUUUAGGACGUAGUGCGGUGGCUAAACCGAGUGUUGUCUCGAGUUUUAGUCGUCACGCGAUACUACACUCAAACUAGACCUUCUUGCGAAUAAACAUGGAACGGACGUUGUCCCGUGCUACCAUGAUAUACGUAAGAGAGGUUGCAGUUUGGGAACUUGAUUAGAACCUUGGUUACUAUUAUCCUAAACUUUAGUUUACCGGGCACCGUGUCCGCCCGUGGCUCCUCGACUUUUAAUCUCAACCCUCCAUGUUUUCUCUGUAAUUGAAAAAAAAAAAAACAAUCAUGCAUACAUGCAUUCAUGCAUAAUUUUUUUUCUCAUGCAUUCAUCGAAGGAUUGGACAAAUUAAAAACUUUGUAAACAUUACAGGUAUGAAUUUGCUUGUUUAGAUAUUGUUUACAAAACUCCUAAUUUGUCUAAAAAUCCUUCGAUGUCCAAAAACAACUUUUGCAUUUGCAUUUGUACAUAUCAUGCAUCAUGUGCAUCAUUCAUCAAGCCACAAGAGGUUUCCAAGUGCUCACUGCCUCCUGGUUCUUCUGCCGCAGUUUGAAAGGUGGCUCGUGCUCGGAAAGUCUACGAACCUGACAGAAUACACCGGACUAGACUCUACAGAAAGAAGAAUUCGGCAGCCAUGGAAGAGGAAAAUGCUCAGCUCCGUACCGAAUUAGCUUCUCUGAGGGAAGAAUUGGCUAAGGCCAAUGAUACCAUGACUGCUCUGCUAGCCGCCCAGGAACAAUCAUCCACCGGUUCACCAACAACGACAGCAGCAACAAGCUAGACCUACCUUUCCUCUGAUACCAAUGCUAUAUGCUGAGUUGCUCCCGACUCUACUUCUCAGAGGGCACUGCACAAUCAGACAGGGGAAGCCUCCACCUGAUCUGUUACCUCCCAGGCUCCGGUCUGACCUCAAAUGUGAUUUCCAUCAAGGUGCUCUGGGUCAUGAUGUCGAAGGAUGCUAUGCUUUGAAAUACAUUGUGAAGAAGCUCAUUAACCAAGGAAAGUUGACUUUUGAGAACAACGUCCCUCAUGUCCUCGACAACCCUCUUCCAAAUCACGCUGCUGUGAACAUGAUUGAGAUAUAUGAGGAAGCUCCCGGACUUGACGUCCGUAAUGUUACAACUCCUCUGGUGCCACUACACAUCAAGUUAUGCCAAGCCUCUCUGUUUGACCAUGAUCAUGCCAAUUGCCAAGAAUGAUUCUGUAAUCCUUUGGGUUGCUGCGUUGUUCAAAAUGACAUCCAGAGCUUGAUGAACAACAAUCAUUUGACUGUCAGCGACGUCUGUGUGAUUGUGCCAGUCUUUCAUGAUCCGCCCGUCAAGAGCGUGCCUUCAAAAGAGAAUGUUGAGCCUCUAGUGAUAAGGCUGCCCGGACCAGUACCUUAUACUUCUACAAAGGCUAUUCCUUACAAGUACAAUGCCACAUGAAUCUUCUACAGUGCUGAGUUUAUCAAUGCAAUUACUGAAGAGACGACUGGAUGUAGUCCUAGGCCUAUGUUUGUUAUACCAGGAGGCAUUGCGAGAAAUUGUGAUGCCAUCAACAUUCAUUCAAUCAUGCAUGUUUCCGAAUAAUGUGUCUUGUUGCUUAAGUGUUUUGUUUUUCAAAAUAACCAUCCUCUCGCUCUGCCCGAAGCGAAAGUGAUAUUUCUGGAAGGGCGUGUUUGUUUCGGCAUCGCCGUUAUUAAUAAAAAUUGUCGUUUCUUUCACGACUUUUUUUUUUUUUUUUAGUGCUUUUUUUUUUUUUUUUUGGGAAAUAAUGGUAAUGCCAGAAAAAAACCAAAACAUCUGUAUUUUCUUAUUAAUUUCAAAAAAAUCUGCAUAAAAAACCAUUUUCUAAAAUCAUUCAACCAUUCUAUGCAGUUUGAACCAUAAUAAACCCGUUGAACACAGUAAUCCUACGGUUCCUUCAAAUUUUGAAUUCCCUGUGUAUGAAGCCGAAGAUGAAGAGGAUGAUGAUAUACCAUAUGAGAUCACUCGACUGCUUGAGCAAGAAUCAGCCUAUUGUAUGGAACGAUGAAUGCCAGGAAGCUUUUGAUAGCAUCAAGAAUUACCUGCUGGAACCACCUAUCCUUGUCCCUCCCGUGGAAGGAAGGCCUUUGAUUUUGUAUUUGUCAGUGUUUGAUGAAUCUGUGGGAUGCGUGCUUGGUCAACAAGAUGAGACUGGAAAGAAAGAACAUGCUAUCUACUAUCUGAGCAAGAAGUUCACCGAUUGUGAAACUCGGUAUACAAUGCUUGAGAAGACUUGUUGUGCUCUAGCUUGGGCUGCCAAACGCCUGCGUCAUUAUUUGGUGAAUCAUACAACUUGGUUGAUAUCCAGAAUGGAUCCGAUAAAGUAUAUCUUUGAGAAAGCUGUUGUUACUGGGAAGAUUGCACGCUGGCAGAUGCUUUUGUCUGAAUACGAUAUUGUGUUCAAAACUCAAAAGGCAAUCAAAGGUAGCAUUCUUGCCGAUCACCUUGCUUACCAACCUCUUGAUGAUUACCAACCAAUUGAAUUCGACUUCCCCGAUGAAGAGAUCAUGUAUUUAAAAUCCAAAGACUGCGAAGAACCGUUGAUUAAUGAAGGCCCAGAUCCCAAUAGCAAGUGGGGUUUAGUCUUUGAUGGUGCUGUCAAUGCUUAUGGUAAAGGAAUUGGGGCAGUCAUUGUAUCCCCGCAAGGGCAUCACAUUCCUUUUACCGCCAGAAUUCUGUUCGAAUGUACAAACAACAUGGCUGAAUACGAAGCAUGUAUCUUUGGGAUCGAGGAAGCAAUUGACAUGAGAAUCAAACACCUCGACAUCUGUGGAGAUUCUGCGCUCGUCAUUAAUCAGAUAAAGGGGGAAUGGGAGACCCACCAUGCUAAGUUGAUUCCUUAUCGGGAUUAUGCGAGACGUCUUCUGACAUAUUUUACAAAGGUUGAGCUGCACCAUAUUCCUCGUGAUGAGAACCAAAUGGCUGAUGCUCUUGCUACUCUAUCCUCCAUGUUUCGGGUAAACCAUUGGAAUGAUGUGCCAAUAAUCAAAGUGCAACGCCUUGAUAGACCUUCGCAUGUGUUUGCUAUUGGGGAUGUGAUCGAUCAGGCUGGUGAAAAUGUGGUUGACUAUAAACCCUGGUACUAUGACAUCAAACAGUUCUUGCUAAGCCGUGAGUAUCCGCCGGGUGCUUCCAAACAAGACAAGAAGACCCUGAGAAGAUUGGCCAGUAGAUUCCUGUUAGAUGGAGAUAUUCUGUACAAGAGAAACUAUGACAUGGUAUUGUUAAGAUGUGUUGAUGAACACGAAGCAGAGCAGUUAAUGCAUGAUGUACAUGACGGUACCUUUGGGACCCAUGCUACAGGGCAUACUAUGUCAAGGAAGUUGUUACGAGCAGGUUACUACUGGAUGGCCAUGGAGCAUGAUUGCUACCAGCACGCCAGAAAGUGCCACAAAUGUCAAAUCUAUGCUGAUAAGAUUCAUGUGCCUCCGCACGCCCUCAAUGUUAUUUCAUCCCCAUGGCCGUUCUCAAUGUGGGGCAUCGACAUGAUUGGAAGAAUUGAACCGAAGGCUUCAAAUGGUCAUCGUUUCAUUUUAGUGGCAAUUGACUACUUCACCAAGUGGGUUGAAGCAGCACCUUAUACUAAUGUGACCAAGCAAGUGGUAGCUAAGUUCAUCAAGAACAACAUCAUCUGUCGAUAUGGUGUUCCCAGCAAGAUUAUUACCGACAAUGGUACCAACCUGAAUAAUAAUGUGGUGCAAGCUCUUUGUGAAGAAUUCAAAAUUGAGCAUCAUAACUCUUCUCCCUAUAGACCUCAGAUGAAUGGUGCAGUUGAGGCCGCCAACAAGAAUAUCAAGAGAAUUGUCCAGAAGAUGGUAACCACUUACAAGGACUGGCAUGAGAUGUUACCCUAUGCUCUGCAUGGCUACCGUACUACUGUGCGCAGUUCAACCGGGGCAACCCCUUUCUCUCUUGUAUAUGGUAUGGAAGCAGUUCUUCCUUUGGAAGUGGAGAUCCCAUCUCUCCGUGUGAUCAUGGAAGCAAAGUUAUCCGAGGCUGAAUGGUGCCAAAGCCGGUAUGAUCAGUUGAAUUUGAUUGAGGAAAAACGUAUGGAUGUCAUGGCUCGUGGACAGUCAUAAUCAAGCAAGAAUGAAGACUGCCUUUGACAAGAAAGUCCAUCCUCGAGAAUUCAAGGUAGGGGAACUUGUAUUGAAAAGGAGGAUAAGCCAGCAACCCGACCCAAGGGGCAAGUGGACGCCUAACUAUGAAGGUCCUUAUGUUGUCAAGAAGGCCUUCUCCGGUGGUGCUUUAAUCCUUACACACAUGGAUGGUGUAGAACUUCCAAAUCCAGUGAAUGCCGAUAUAGUCAAGAAAUACUUUGCCUAGAAAUAUGAAAAGAACAGCGUGGUAGGUCGAAAACCCGAAAGGGCGGCCCAGGCAAAAAUGCGCUUCCCGGUGGAUCGAAAACCCGAAAGGGCGGUCCAGGCAAAAAUAAGGGACAAAAAAAUAUAUGAAAAGCUCGCUGAGAUUGUACACAACUCAGGCAAGAAUGAGCGUCUCGAUGAGCCGAAAACCCGGAAGGGCGGUUCAUGCAAAAAUGAAACAAAAGACAAGUAACUAUAUCUGGCCAACCACCGUCCCCCUUGGGGCAUCUGCAGCUGUUAAUGACCAUCUUCAUCAAAAGCGAAUGCUUGCGAAUUCAAAGUUUCUAGGAAAUGUCAUGAUCACUGUGUUCAAUGUACCACCAACCAAUAAAAUUACCAUUUUCCAAGCUUUGUAAAUCCGUGGAGUCACGCCUUCGGCUGACCACCCCUCUUAUACAUCAAAUUGAGCCUGUGCUUUUGUUUAAAACUCUAUUUUCUUCUACUUUCAAAGCUAUAUACAAAACAUUUUCCUUCUAUUUUGAUAAUGACAAUGCUUGAAACAAACAUUUUUUUUGAAAAUUGAAAACUUUUUGUCUAUUUUGAAAAGCAAACCUGAGCAACAGGGUACAUUCAAAUGAAACAUGCAUGAGCGAGAGUAUGUUGAUGUCUAUUUCAAUAUAUGUUACAAGCAGGUUCUCCUCCAGGAUAGUCUGUGGUCAAUGGCAAGAAUGAAAAAACAAAAUGAAAAUGCAUGAAAUUGAAUAGGCUCGCUAAGUUGAAAACCCGAAAGGGCGGCUUAGGCAAAAAUGAGCACCCCGCUGGAUUGACAACCCGAAAGGGCAGUUCAGGCAAAAAUGGGGCAUUGAAAAGAAUUUAUUUCCCCGGUGGGUCGAAAACCCGAAAGGGCGAUCCAGGCAAAAAUGGGAUGCAAAAAAUGAAUGAUGAAAGUUGAGAAAAUAACAUGCAAAAAGCAUUGACCACAGAUGCGACAUCCACGGUACAUCCGGCAUUAUUUCCAGUAGAGUCUCCCAAGAUUCUAUCCCCAGCAAGUUGCAUAGCUACCGGCCCUCAGCCUAGGUCCCGAAACGUCUCCCAACGACGUCAUCUCCAAAGAGGAUUUCCAAGAAUGUGUAAUAUAGCACGAGCCACUACGUGCCCAAUACUCUGAUGUCUUGUCUUCCCCGUGAAGUCGUGCCUACAAAAUGCCAACAGUCAUGCAUUACAAGCAUUCAUACAUGCAUAAUCAUGCAUAUUACGUGCCCAUGCAUUUAAUGAAACUGUUAUAUCAUCCGUGCAUAUUGCAUUUCCAAUGUCAACAUCAGUCUCAAUUCGAUACUCAUGUCAGGUUCUCUGUCAAAACCUUGUGAGCCAAUAAUAUCGGUCAAUUUCUGCCUUUCAAUUCAAAUCGACGUCAAGUCAAUCUCAAUCUAUAUUUUGUCAAAAAAAAACCAAUCCCCAGUCAAUAUGUUUCCGUUUGGUCAAGUGGCUAGCUCAAUCCAAGAGCAGCUUGUACCUGUCUAUCUGUUUCUGUCCGGUGGAGUAACCAGUUCGCAUCCAAGAACAAGCUCACACCUGUUUAUUUGCCUUUGCUUUCGGUCGAGUGACCAGUUCGAAUCCAAGAACAACUCGUACCUAUCUACUUUUCCAUGACCCCGGUCGAGUUACCAGUUCGAAUCCAAGAACAGCUCGUACCUGUCUAUGUGUCUAUGAUUUUGGGUCAAGUGGCUAGUUCAAGUCCAAGAACAGCUUGUACCCGUCUAUCUGUUUCUGUUCGCUCAAGUGGCUAGCUCGAUCCAAGAGCAGCUUGCGCCUGUCUAUUUUGUAUUUGUCUCCGGUGGAGUAACCAGUUCGCAUCCAAGAACAAGCUCGCACCUGUCUAUUUGCCUUGCUUUCAGUCGAGUAACCAGUUCGAAUCCUUAAGAACAACUCGUACCUGCCAAUUUUACAUGUUUUCAGUCGAGUCACCAGUUCGAAUCCAUAAGAACAACUCGUACUUGUCAAUUUUCUCUUUUUCCAGUCGAGUCACCAGUUCGAAUCCGUAAGAACAACUCGUACUUGCCAAUUUUCUCUUUUUCCCAGUCGGGUCACCAGUUCGAAUCCAUAAGAACAGCUCGCACUUUCCAAUAUCCCCAAGUGAGUUACCAGUUUGAAUCCAUAAGAACAACUCAUGUUUGUCCAGUAACCUCUAUCCCCUGUGAAGUGACCAGUUCGAAUCCAUAAGAACAACUCGCAGUUGUCUGUUUGUUUCAUCCCCGGUCAAGUGGCUAGUUUGAAUCCAAGAACAGCUUGUACCUGUCCAACUUGUUUCUAGUUUCCCGUUACUCUGCUAUUCACUAUCUUUGUCAAUGUCUACCAAUCCCGCAAUGGAUACGACAUAUUUUGUUAAUUCCAAUCCCCAUGAGGUCUUGCAUUCAUAAUCCAAAUGAUGCAUGGCAUGCAUAUUAUUUGAAAAUGGGUAGGCGUAUUUUUACGUCCAAACACAGUGCAAAUGCUAAUAUUUAAGUAUCUUCGUCCUGUCAAGCCAAAGACUCCGUCUCUUGACUCUCCAGACAAAGAAACUUAAAUAGGGGCAGCUGUUAUACCCUGUUUUUGGACCUAAAAAUACUGGGCCCAAUUUCAUUUCAAACUUUGUCAAUUAUCAAAUUUCAACUGCACAGUUCAAAUUGUCUCUGCCUCGCAGUAUUUUCAAUCACAAUUUUACCUAUGUUUUUCUUGCAUAAAACCUUUCGAAAUGUCUUUACUUGUCUUGUAAGUCAUUCAAAAGUGUCUCUGAAUCAUUACAUUGCUUUUUCUACAGUUUAUUUCAAAAUUUGCAAAAAGUCGUACAGAAGGGUAUUUUGGUCAUUUCCUGCAGUGGGACCCAUUUUCAUCCUUGUGACUGUCUCUGAGUCUUUUCAGAUUGAUUUUUAACAUUUCAUCAGUAAACCUUGUUAAAUUCAUUUCAAACUUGCAUCUGAGUCAGUGUCAAGUCAAUUUGAAUAUGUUUAGGUCAUUUUUAGCCCUAGGGGCAUUUUGGUCAUUUCACACAAAAUUUCGGCAUAGAGAGGUUACUUUGAAGUACCUCAUUUAAGCCAUUGAUUUGUUUUAGUCCGUUUUGUCAAUUUUAUUUUUUGUUUCGCUUUACGUUUGGUCAAAUUACGUUUUUUAUUCAAUUUUAUUUUUAAUUGCAUUUUGGUCCCUCAAUUUAGGUCCCAAAAUUGCAUUUUUUGUCCAAACAGUUUUUAAUUUCAUUUCAGUCCUUACUUUCAUUUUCCAGUCCUUUUUUAUUAUUUUUUUUGCAGAAAAGGUCCCAGGGGCAUUUUUGUCCAGAAUUUUCGCACACUUCAGUCUCAGUCCAGAUGGCAUUUUCUCAUUGGCCCACAAAUACACAUGGCAGGCUAUAAAUAGAUGUGUCAGAUCCAAAGAAAAAAAAGAAUCAGUCACAUCACAAAAACAGAAAUUUCUUUCUCUCUCCAAAAUCAGUUAGAUCCAAAACAGAAAAUCACCAAAAAUUCUCCAAGAACACCAAGAACAAAUCUUCACAAAAUCAACAAAUCCGAACCGGAUUCACUCAAAACCAACUCAAAUCAUCACAAAAUCAACAAAUCCGAACCGGAAUCAUUCAAAACCACCGCGAAUCAUCACACCAACACCAAAUCCGUACCGGAUUUUCGAGCAAAAGCGGCACCACCGGAGCAUAACGCGCGCGCGCGGCGGAGAGAAGAGGAGGCUCGGAUUUUUCCUCCGUUUCACGACGACGGUAACACUUUUUUCCCUCGUUUUCGCGCAUAUACACAUGUGAAAAGUUUGUUACGAAUCAAGAUUUGUAGAUCUAAGCUUGUACGUUCGGAUUUUUGAAAUUUUGAGGCCGGAUUCGGACUCUAGAGCGAAAAGGAUAUCUAGAUCCGUAAGCUUUUUUACAAAAAGAGUGAAAAAAUUCGGAAAGUUCAAGUGUAGAUCUACGACGAAUCUCUCACCCCUUUUUAAAACUAGCACCGGAUUUGUGUAGAGGAGGUGGUGACGGAACUUUUGAUGUAAAAAUUUUGAAAAAAAAAAGUAGUUUGAAUUUUCCGGCGCGGUGGCGCCGCCGCCGGAAACCGGCCGGCCGCCGCGCCGGAAUCACCACCACCAUCAGCUCCGGCCGCCGUGUUUUAGAGAGAAGGGAGAGCUUCUCUCUCUAAGUUUAACUUAGAGAGAGAAGAAGAAAAGGUUUUGUGAUUUUUUUUGUGAAGAAAAUCCUUUUUAUACUCCCUCCGAUCCCACGCGCGCGCGUGCGUGCUCUUGUUGUGUUCCCUCGCUCUGUGAACCAUCAGAUCUGGAUUGUUCCAAGAUCUGAUGGCUGCUGUGUGUUUGAUUUUGAAUCCUGUGCAUGACUUUUUGUGUGAAAUAUGGUAUAUCUUCUGUUUGAACCGUUAGAUCUUUGAUCUAACGGUCACUGUGCUUCCUGCAUUUUACACUAUCUUUUGUGCCUUUUUCUGGACCCUUUGAUCUUUGAUCAAGUGGCUGUGAUGUGAUCUUGAGGGCUAGAUCUGGACCUCUGGAUUCAUCCAACGGUCCAGAUUAAAUCCUGCUGAGUUUUUUUUUAACUGCUUUUUAAUUGCGUUUUAAAUACCUUUUUUACACUUUCUUGGUGUUUUAUGCUUCUAAAAAAUUUUCUAAAAAUAUUUCCCUAUCAUUUUAAUUUUUCCUCUAAGUAUUAGAAUUUAUUUGCUUAUUUUUGCAUUUAUUUCCUUUACUUCGUUCUUUAAUUUUUGCUCAUUAAAAUUCCAUAUAUGUUCUUGAUGCAUUUUUACAUAUUGUGAUUGAUAAAUUCUCAUGUUUUUACCCCUUUUUAUUGCAUAUUCAUUUGGUGCAUUUUUCAUCAUUUCCAUUAUAUUUUUCCUUGUUUCACUAACAUUUUGUUCCUUAUGUGACUUCACUCAUAGCAUUUCACUAUCUCCUCCACUUUCUUUAGCUUAGCAUUUAUUUUUGCAAAUUUUAAUUCAUUCGGUGAUGUAAUUUGUUAUCAUUGGUUUGUAGCUUGGCAAAGAGGCCAUAGAAUGUAUUUAGGCAAUUUUUGUAAUAUGGACUAUGGACACUAUGGUGCACCGGCACGCACACACUCACCCUAGAUGUAUGCCUAGGAUUGCAUGUGUAGAUGUAUGGCUAGGAUUGCAUGGUUAGAUGAAUGCUUAGGUUUAAACACUUAGAGAAAAUCCAACUUUUUUCCAAAAAAUAUGCAAACAAACUCGCUUCAAAUAUUUUUCAUAAAAAUGGAGUCAAAACUCCAACAACUUUUCACCUUUUAUUUUCUUAAUAAAAUUCUCAAAUAAAUCUAAUCAUUUAGACUUUUUUGCAAAAUCACUAAACAAACCCCCACUUUUUCAUACUCUAAUGCUCAUGAAGCCUCUCAAUCCUUUUCUUCAAAAUCAUUUUCAAAAUUUAAAAUCAAACAAUUAAAACAAAAAAAACAAUAAGUCUUUUUUAGCAAGAACUACGAACGGUUUUGAUCCCUUAAAAGGGUACGUAGGCAAUGAGUCAAAACUCAUCCAAGCCGAAAUAAAAAUCAAAUUCUACUUCUUCUCACCCCCCAUUCUUGACUAAUCACACCUUCCCUUUUUUACAAAUAAGCAAUAAAACUGAAGCGUAGAAAUGAACUUAGGAGAGCGGUUCUUAUGGAAUACCAUAAUCGCUCCGGGUGCCUAACACCUUCCCGUAGCGAAAACGACCCCCGAAUCUAGAAACUUUUUAAGGGUUUUUCUCCUUUUACCCUUCCCAAGAAAAAAGAGAGAUAUCAACGGUCGAAAGGUUCAAGCCUAAUUUAUGACUUGACACCCGAAAAUCGCGAUAACACCAUGUCCCUCAUCUGUUAAACCUUUAGGCAGUAAGUUUGUGUUCUCUAUAAAGCUGCGCUCGGAUGGAUCUAUAGAUCGUUACAAGGCUCGUUUAGUUGUGCUUGGAAAUAAGCAAGAAUAUGGACUAGACUAUGAUGAGACGUUUGCUCCGGUUGCCAAGAUGACAACCGUGCGCACUAUUCUUGCUAUUGCUGCGUCACAAGCUUGGCCGUUACAUCAAAUGGAUGUCAAAAACGCAUUCCUCCACGGUGACCUUCAGGAGGAAGUUUACAUCAAACUUCCUAAUGGUAUGCCUACACCUUCACCUAAUACUGUUUGCAAACUAAAACGAUCUUUGUAUGGAUUGAAACAGGCACCAAGAGUAUGGUUUGAAAAGUUUCGAUCGACACUACUUGGUUUUGAAUUCAGUCAAAGUCGGUAUGAUCCAUCUCUUUUCCUACAAAGAACUCCUAAAGGCAUGGUGGUGCUUCUUGUUUAUGUGGAUGACAUUGUUGUGACUAGUUCUGAUCAAGAUGCUAUUUCUAGGAUCAAAAACUUGUUGCAUUCAACUUUUCAUAUGAAAGAGUUGGGCCGUCUCACUUAUUUCUUGGGUUUAGAGGUGCAUUAUCAUCAUGAAGGUGUUUUUCUAAAUCAACAAAAGUAUAUUCAAGACUUGGUCCAGCUAGCUGGACUCACAAAUGCAACCCCUGUAGACACUCCCAUGGAAGUUAAUGUUAAAUAUAGAAGAGAUGAAGGUGACCACCUUGAUGAUCCCACUCAAUAUCGCAAACUGGUUGGAAGUCUCAUCUAUGUAACUAUCACUCGCCCAGAUAUUUCUUUUGUUGUACACACAGUUAGUAAGUUCAUGCAAGCUCCACGACAUUUUCAUCUUUCAGCAGUGCAACGAAUCAUUAGAUACCUCCUUGGCAGCCUAAAGCGUGGUUUAUUUUUUCCUGUUGGUUCAUCAAUCAAACUCCAAGCAUAUAGUAAUGCCGAUUGGGCUGGCUGUCCAGACACAAGAAAAUCUACUACUGGUUGGUGUAUGUUCCUAGGAAAUGCUCCUAUUUCAUGGAAAUGUAAGAAACAAGAUUCAGUCUCAAAGUCAUCCACUGAAGCAGAAUACCGCGCAAUGUCUGCUGCUUGUUCUGAAAUAAUAUGGUUGCGUGGACUUCUAACAGAGCUUGGAUUCUCUCAAGAUCAACCGACUCCGCUGCAUGCUGACAACACCAGUGCCAUUUAGAUUGCAGCAAAUCCAGUUUACCAUGAACGGACGAAACACAUCGAGGUUGAUUGUCACUCUAUUCGAGAAGCCUAUGAUCGAAGAAUCAUCAAUCUACCACAUGUCUCAACAUCUGUUCAAACAACUGACAUUUUCACUAAAAGUUUGACACGUCAGCGGCACAAUUUUCUACUUGGCAAAUUGAUGCUUGUAGAUUUACCAACAUCAAUUUGAGGGGGGAUGUCAAUGGAAUUAAUGGCAAAUCAAAUUCUAUAAGAUUGCACAUUUAUUUGUAAUAGUCAAAUAAUCAUCCUUUCAAUUAGCAUAAUUAGUUGUAAAUAUAUACACGUCAGUUUAGCUAAUUUAGUGGGUUGAAAGUCAACUUGGCAACUUGUAAAUACAUUGUAUUUAUAUGAGAAAUCAGAAUGAAGGGGGAUACAGUUUUGACCCUCAUUUCUUAGGGCCUGUUUGAUUUAGUUUUUAAAAACUGUUUUGUUGUUUUUAAAAAUUAAAGAACUAAAAACUUGUUUGAUUAAACACUUUUGAAAUAACAGUUUCGGAAACAAUUUUGAAAAAAUCAGUUUUCAAAACUAAAAAACAGAAACUGAUUUUAGGUGUUUUUCUUUUUUGGUUUGAUUUUCCUUUGCAAACUAAAAACACUGAGAACUAGCUCUUUUCAUUAAUGGCAUUUCCGUAAUAACAUUAAUCCUGAAAACAGUUUUUGCUAAUUUGAUUGCCAAACAUUUUUUCUUUUAUUUUCUUCUUCAAAAAUAGUUUUUAAAAACUAAUUUAUAAAUGAAAAUUUGAGAACUGAAAACGGGAAUUGAUUCAAACAGGCCCUUAGUCUCUCUGAGUUUAAUAUCCCUCAUUUCUCCGAGUUUAACAUCUAUAACUAAGGGAAGGCCUGAAGCAUAUGAAACUGCACGAUUUAAAACAUCUUCAUAACUUGAAGGAACUUUGUUAUUUUUAAAAGCCAUCCACGUCAACAAUUCAAGCGCUUCCGUCCCAUACAACCCUUCUACCGAAUGCAUACUUUCUAUCCCAUGACAGGUUAGUAAGUGUUUGUCUCGAGUGGUAAUGAUGACCCUGCUUCCACGACCGAACCAAUCGAGUCCUCCAGCCAAAGCCUCCAGCUGCUCCAGUUUGUCGACAUCAUCAAGAAUCAAAAGAAUUUUAUUUCUAUG